rnacentral:rRNA from 1 species
AUUGAACGCUGGCGGCAGGCCUAACACAUGCAAGUCGGGCGAGCGGCGGACGGGUGAGUAAUGUAUGGGGAUCUGCCUGAUGGAGGGGGAUAACUACUGGAAACGGUAGCUAAUACCGCAUACCAUCAGAUGUACCCAUAUGUGAUUGGCUUGUGGGUGAGGUAACGGCUCACCUAGUGGACGAUCCCUAGCUGGUCUGUUAGGAUGAUCGGCCGCGCUGUGACAGAGACGAGGCGCUAACACCUUCAGGUGGCCGCGGUGGGGAUUAUUCCACACUGGGCGCAGGCCUGAUGCAGCCUUGCCGCGUAUAUGAAGAAGGCCUUCGGGUUUUAAAGUACUUUCAGUCGGGUGGCGUUACCGACAGAAGAAGCACCGGCUAACUCCGUGCCAGCAGCCGCGGUAAUAC